rnacentral:misc_RNA from 1 species
UGGUUCUGGCAUCGAUGAAGAACGCAGCGAAAUGCGAUAAGUAAUGUGAAUUGCAGAAUUCGGUGAAUCAUCGAAUCUUUGAACGCACAUUGCGCCCUUUGGCAUUCCGAGGGGCACGCCUGUUCGAGCGUCAUUUAAACCAUCAAGCCUAGCUUGGUCUUGGACGAGGUCGAGUGACCCGUCCGCAACCCGUUGGCGGUGCAGUCCGGCUUCAAGCGUAGCAAGAAUUUCGCUUUAGGAGUCCGCGGCGGUAACUGCCAGGUAAUUACAUCCCAAAGUUUGACCUCGGAUCAGGCGAGGAUACCCGCUGA